AGCAGUCGCCGCGGGAAAACGAAGGGGGCUAGCGUUGUUCGGAUUUACUGGGCGUAAAGCGCACGUAGGCGGACUUUUAAGUCAGGGGUGAAAUCCCGGGGCUCAACCCCGGAACUGCCUUUGAUACUGGAAGUCUUGAGUAUGGUAGAGGUGAGUGGAAUUCCGAGUGUAGAGGUGAAAUUCGUAGAUAUUCGGAGGAACACCAGUGGCGAAGGCGGCUCACUGGACCAUUACUGACGCUGAGGUGCGAAAGCGUGGGGAGCAAACAGGAUUAGAUACCCCCGUAGUCCCUGUCUCUUAUAC
rnacentral:rRNA from 1 species